rnacentral:rRNA from 1 species
GAUGAACGCUAGCGGCAGGCUUAAUACAUGCAAGUCGAGGGGCAGCACGGAUAGCAAUAUUUGGUGGCGAUCGGCGCACGGGUGCGUAACACGUAUACAACCUACCUAUAACAGGGGGAUAGCCUUUCGAAAGAGAGAUUAAUACCCCGUAAUAAAUUGAGUGGCAUCACUUGAUUUUGAAAGCUACGGCGGUUAUAGAUGGGUAUGCGUCCUAUUAGCUAGUUGGUGAGGUAACGGCUCACCAAGGCAACGUUAGGUAGGGGAUCUGAGAGGACUAACCCCCACACUGGUACUGAGACACGGACCAUACUCCUACGGGAGGCAGCAUUAAGGAAUAUUGGUCAAUGGAGGCAACUCUGAACCAGCCAUGCCGCGUGCAGGAUGACGGCCCUAUGGGUUGUAAACUGCUUUUGUACCAGAGAAAACCUACUCACGUGUGAGUAGCUGAUAGUAUGGUAAGAAUAAGCAUCGGCUAACUUCGUGCCAGCCGCCGCGGUAA